rnacentral:rRNA from 1 species
AGUGGGGAAUAUUGCACAAUGGGCGAAAGCCUGAUGCAGCCAUGCCGCGUGUAUGAAGAAGGCCUUCGGGUUGUAAAGUACUUUCAGCAGUGAGGAAGAGUAUGUAGUUAAUAACUGCAUGCUUUGACGUUAGCUGCAGAAGAAGCACCGGCUAACUCCGUGCCAGCAGCCGCGGUAAUACGGAGGGUGCGAGCGUUAAUCGGAAUUACUGGGCGUAAAGCGCAUGCAGGUGGUUUGUUAAGUCAGAUGUGAAAGCCCGGGGCUCAACCUCGGAAUUGCAUUUGAAACUGGCAGGCUAGAGUACUGUAGAGGGGGGUAGAAUUUCAGGUGUAGCGGUGAAAUGCGUAGAGAUCUGAAGGAAUACCAGUGGCGAAGGCGGCCCCCUGGACAGAUACUGACACUCAGAUGCGAAAGCGUGGGGAGCAAA